rnacentral:misc_RNA from 1 species
AAAAAAAAAAAAAAACAAAAUCUCCAAUUUUAUUUCUCAUAGAAAAUUUCUGCAACCCAAGCACUCCAGCGAGAAAAAAAAUUCCUCUUCUCGAUCUAUUCGCCUUAGGGUAAGAUUCUGUUUUCCUUCUUAUUGAUUUAUCAACGGAUCUGUUCGUGAUUUCUUAUGUUUCUCUUUGUGUUUGAUUGAAUUUGACAGUUUCGAGAGAUCUGAGGAAAGAGGAGAGGAAAGGAGGAGAUUAGAAUAUGGCGCAUAGAGUAGAUCAUGAGUAUGACUAUCUGUUCAAGAUCGUUCUGAUUGGAGACUCUGGCGUGGGAAAAUCUAAUAUCCUUUCCAGGUUUACCAGAAAUGAAUUCUGUUUGGAAUCCAAAUCCACUAUUGGUGUCGAGUUCGCUACUAGAACUCUUCAGGUAAUCUUCAAAUCUUUAUUUCUAUCAUUUGAUUUUCUUUGUUAUCUGCAAUUUUAAGACGAUCUGUUCGUCUACUGGCUUCUGAAUCGUUGUUUUGUUUAUUGGUUAGCAGACUGACUGAUGAUUAUUAGUGUAAUAAUGGAAAUGAAAUUUUCAGAUUUUAGUAUAGGAAAAUUGUUUAUAGGGACUUCUUGUCAUUUUUUAGACAAGGAGGACGUAUGUAUUUGCAGGUAUAUGUAUCGUUUUGGAUUAAUAGAUUGGCUAUUGGUAUUGGAACGGCGAUGAAGUGACCACUGACAAGUGGCCAUACUUGCAGAAUGGAGUUGACUGUGAGAUAUUUGUAAGUGGGAAAAGUUAUUUCUUCCGAUUCCACUAGUGAUAGGCCUCAAUUGAAGGUCAGGACCGUAGGUUCUAUUGGGUGAGAGGGAGUUUGCAUGUACCCUCAUAUUGUUAACAGCUUCAUUUGGGAGAUGCAGAGGUUUUAUGAAGUUUUCUACUGGUCUUUGUGCAAUAAAAUAGCACCAACUAAUUUGUUUCCAUAACUAUAACUACAUUUUAACAUGGAUCUCUAUGAUCCUCUCAUGUGCUCUUGGUUGAUUGAUCAAGCGCAAUUGGCUAUUCUUUCAUUAAUAUGGCCGCUUGUCUUGCUCAAUUGUCAGGAACUGCAGGAUUAUUGGCGAUUUAUUAAAUUAAUGACUUAGUUCUUUCUUGUAAUCUGAGUGUUAUAUGGCAUGUCAUUCUGUCAAAAGAAUAUUCAUUAAUGAUUUGAAUGAGUGACACGUUGUUAAGAUAUGAUCUAGGUAAUGAAUGCUUAUGAUGGGAGUGGGUUUCAUCUAUGUUGUCAGAUUUGUGCUAUAUAGGCUAUAGCUGAUCUCUAAUUUUUUAUAAUUUUUGUCCUUUUCCUAUAUAUAUGUAUUUUUCUCUGUUACAGGUGGAUGGAAAGACAGUAAAGGCACAGAUUUGGGAUACAGCAGGUCAGGAGCGGUACCGGGCUAUCACAAGUGCAUAUUAUAGAGGAGCUGUUGGUGCCCUUCUUGUUUAUGACAUAACCAAGAGGCAAACUUUCGACAAUGUUCAAAGGUGGCUGCGUGAAUUGAGGGACCAUGCAGACUCUAAUAUUGUCAUUAUGAUGGCUGGAAAUAAGUCUGACUUGAAUCAUCUAAGAGCUGUUGCAGAGGAGGAUGGUCAGAGCUUGGCAGAGAAGGAAGGUCUCUCAUUUCUGGAGACAUCGGCAUUGGAAGCAACCAAUAUUGAGAAGGCAUUCCAAACCAUAUUGACAGAGAUCUACCACAUCAUAAGCAAAAAGGCAUUGGCAGCACAGGAAGCAGCCGGCAAUUCUACUCUUCCUGGUCAAGGAACCACUAUUAAUGUUGCUGAUACAGGGAAUACGAAGAAAGGUUGCUGCUCCACUUAAUUCUAUACUUGAGGAAGGAUAGCAUUGGUAGCAAUCAGUCCUUUUAUUUUUUUUUUUAACAAUUAUUUUUUGAAAAAAAUUCUUUUUCAUUUUUUGGCUGAGAGAGGGAGACUGUAGAUUACUUGUUUUUUUACUUAAAUUGAGUUUGUGACAUUGAAAAAAAAAAAAAAAGGUCGGUGCUGUUAGAAUUUCAGGAUGGGAUGUUCUCUGUAUUUUUUUCUUGUAUGUUACUUUAAAGAUGGAACUGACUGAUAGCAGGGAUGUAGAGUGAAGUCACAUUAUCGCGAACCAUAAAAGGGGAAGCAUUUAGUACUCGUUAUGGGUUUUGUUUGUUGAUCUACUUCCUAACUUGUAAUAAAAGCUUCUUUCCCUUUGUGACAUGUUUUCCAGAGAUUGGUUAACGCCAUAUUUCUUAGACUAUUGCUUAUUCCAUACAAUCUCUUGACUUCUCUUGUCUACUAAAAUACUAGCUUGACA